GAUGAACGCUAGCGGCAGGCUUAAUACAUGCAAGUCGAGGGGCAGCAGGGUGUAGCAAUACAUCGCUGGCGACCGGCAAACGGGUGCGGAACACGUACACAACUUUCCUUUAAGUGGGGGAUAGCCCAGAGAAAUUUGGAUUAAUACCCCGUAAAUUAUGAAGUGGCAUCAUUUUAUAAUUAAAGCUCCGGCGCUUGAAGAUGGGUGUGCGGCUGAUUAGGUAGUUGGCGGGGAACGGCCCACCAAGCCUACGAUCAGUAACUGGUGUGAGAGCACGACCAGUC
rnacentral:rRNA from 1 species